ensembl:lncRNA
UAGGUAAGACUGAUGCAAUAGCAUGUCCACAAAUGUUUGAUGGGUCAUCUUAAUUUUAGAGGCUUUUUUCUGCUUCAAUUAUUAGUGUUUUACAGAUGGCUGCUGGACCUCUCUUCUGAUCUCCUCCUUACAUACUGACAACAAUUUAAACCACAAUUUUCAAAUUUGCAGUCAUAAAUCCAUCAGACAGCUGCAUCUUCUUGUCUGACUCCCUCAGCCUUUUUGCCCUUUUUCCAGGCCUUAACAAUGUCUUCUUGACAGCCACCAUUCUGACACCAUUUCUGAUGAGAUUUUAGUGAACAGCAAACAAUCAGCAGAAGGUCCAGAUGCAGUGUCAGGUUUUUGUUUUUCCAAUUCCAUAACUUUCACAUACUGUUUGUCCACUGCAGUUUUUUUAGGCCUCAUACUUCUUCUGUCCUCCACUUGUCCAGGCUCCUUAACAUUUUUAAGGACAGCACGGCAUGCAAAGAUAGGCUUAGGCUGAAGGCAUUUUGGGAAUCACCUUGUUGAUGCAAAUAUAUGGCUAUCUAACUGUGUUGUCUUUAGCACUUUUAUUCAAGUAAGGACAUGAAAAACACGUUGCUACAGAGUGAUAGCAACAUCAGGAACAAGGAGCAGCAGGUGAGAACUAGCUCAUUAUUACUGUCUGCCUUUUUUUUUUUUUUUUUACGUGCCAGUUGGGAACCAAAAACUACUUCUAUUUAGAAAAGGGUGCAUUAAAUUGUAUCACUUAACAAAUGUCAGUUAUCAAUACUGUAGUUCUUGAUAUCAUGAAUACUCUUAAUAUUUAUGUUGGUAAGGCCUUCCUGUUAUUUAAUUUACAUUUGUAUUCUCUGCCUUCUGGUGGAAAUAUAACUGCGUAUCAUCUGCAUAUGUGGCACUGACCUGGGACUGUUUUAUUGUGACAGGUCAGCCCUUUUGUAUCUGCUUGUCACUCAGCUAUUGCUGGAAUGUCUGGUUCAGCAUAGAUAAUGGCACACACCAAGGGCGUAGAUUUGGCAUGGACGGAAGGGACAUGUCCCCACCAAUAUCCAGCGAUUAUUGAAUUGUCCCCACCAAUAAUUUGAUCUCUUCGAGUAAAGAAAAACAACCCGAUAGAAAGAAAAAAAAAAGCGAUCUGUCAGCAUCUCAUUCACCCAGAGGUGCAGAAAGAGUUAAAUUACGUUCUCUACUGGAGUCCUACACUGUAAAAUCUAAUUAGUUCCCAGAACUCAAAAUAAUUGAGGAAACUUGUUGCCUCAAAAAAAUUGAGUAAAGCUUAGCUAAAAAUGACUAAAUUAGGACAACUUAUUUAUUUUGAGUACUCUGUACAAGCUCAUUUGUUCCCAGAACUCAAGAAAAUUCGAUCAAGUCUACGUAAGAUGACCAAGUUAGGGCAACUUACUCAUUUUGAGUACAGUGUACAGCCUUGUUAGUUCCCAGAACUCAAAGAAAUUGAGGAAACUCGUUGCCUCAAAAAGAGUAAGUAAAGCUUACUUAAGAUGACUGUUAGGACAACUUACACAUUGCAAGUCUGCAGUAUUAAGAAUAACUUGAUAUUUCUGACUGUACAAUUUUAAUUGUUUACCUACUGACAAACAUUUCAAGUUCAACUAAAUGAAAAAACAAUUUGUGGUAACCUGAAUAUGAUUAAAAAUAAUUAACAACACUUUUUGUAAUGAUGUUAAAAUCAGCCCAACUUUUAUUUUCAAACACAACAAAGUAUAACAGCCAACAUACUGGACACUGUUCUGCUGAACAACAAACAAUUAUAUUGCCAUCACUGUUAUAAUCUCACAAUGAAACAAAGUCUCAGAUGUAAUUAUUCUGAAAAUAAGUUUAGGUCUACCACAAGUUUGUUUCGUACUUACAUUACUUAUAUAAUCAAAAUAAAAUAUUUGUUGUUCUGUCACAA